rnacentral:misc_RNA from 1 species
AAAGUCGUAACAAGGUUUUCGUAGGUGAACCUGCGGAAGGAUCAUUAGUGAAUUGAAAUGGGUGCUCUUAAUUGAGGCUCGCUUUUCCUAAUUUCAACACCCUUUAUGUGAACUUGAACUUUAUACAUUGAUUGACUUCUCUUUAUUGAGCAAGGCUUUCGAUUAUAACUUUAACACCCUUAUGUUUUAUAAGAGAUGAGAAUGUAUAUAACCUUGAAAUUGAAAGAACAACUUUCAGCAACGGAUUUCUUGGCUCUC